GCCAGAGUGGUGUAGCAGUUUGAGCACUGGACUAUUACUCUGGAGACCAGGAUUCAAAUCCCAGCUCAGCCA